rnacentral:rRNA from 1 species
AUGAGAAAGUGUUGGCAUAUGCAGUUGUAUAUGUUACCUUGGACAUUCGCUGUGCAUUUAUCAGCGAAAAUCAAAGGCGUAAAAUCGCACAUCAAUGUGAGGUCCAAAAGUAGUAGGUGGACUAAUAAGGUCGAUGGGAAAGGCCGCGGAAGCCCCAAGAUUCUUGUGUGCCAUGAGCAGCCAGAUGAAGGUAAGGAACUCCCCUCCUCUGGCCAGCUGGGUCGCGUGCGUCUCGGGCCGCGACCUGCUUGCAGCGUACAUGAUGAUCCUCACCCACAUGUCUCUCAUCUCCUCCAGUGUUUCUUUGCAUGGUUCUGGUAA